GAAGAGGGAAGAGCCCAAGAUUGAAAGCUGGCGUUUUCGGCGUCCGCAUUGUAAUCUCAAGAAGUGUUUUCCGCUUCGGACCAAGCCUAAGUCCCUUGGAAAAGGGCAUCAUAGAGGGUGAUAAUCCCGUACAUGGCUUGGAGCGCCCGAAGCUUUGUGAUACGCUUUCUAAGAGUCGAGUUGUUUGGGAAUGCAGCUCAAAAUGGGUGGUAAAUGCCAUCUAAGGCUAAAUAUUGGGGAGAGACCGAUAGCGAACAAGUACAGUGAUGGAAAGAUGAAAAGAACUUUGAAAAGAGAGUUAAACAGUACGUGAAAUUGCCAAAAGGGAAGGGUAGGAGGUCAGAGAUGCGGCCUGGGAUUCAGCCUUGCUUUUGCUUGGUGUUUUUCCCAGAUUGCAGGCCAACGUCGGUUUUGGGCACUGGAGAAGGGUAGGAGGAACGUGGCACCUCUCGGGGUGUGUUAUAGCCUCCUACUGGAUACAGCGACCGAGACCGAGGACAGCAGCGUACUCGCAAGAGCGGGCCUUCGGGCACCUUUACGCUUAGGGCGUUGGCAUAAUGGCCCUCUACCACCA
rnacentral:rRNA from 1 species